UUGCUUAUAGUAUCUGAGAUAUGGACUUGACCACCAAAACUUAACCUUGUUCACUGAUCCAUGAAAUGAGGUCGAGGUCAAGUGAAAACUGUCUGACAGGCAUGAGGACCUUGCAAGGUACGCACAUACUAAAUAUAGUUAUCCUAUUACUUAUAAUAAGAGAGAAUUUAACACUACAAAAAAUCUUAACUUUUUUUUCAAGUAGUCACUGAACCAUGAAAAUGAGGUCAAGGACAUUGGACAUGUGACUGACGGAAACUUCGUAACAUGAGGCAUCCAUAUACAAAGUAUGAAGCAUCCAGGUCUUCCACCUUCUAAAAUAUAAAGCUUUUAAGAAGUUAGCUAACGCCGCCGCCUGAUCACUAUCCCUAUGUCGAGCUUUCUGCGACAAAAGUCGCAGGCUCGACAAAAAACUGUUUUUGCCUCCAAAUCUUUUACAUUAAUAUAUCUACUGGUCAAAAAAGUUUUUAGGUAUACAUGUAACAAUAAGAGGGUAUCAUAACUAAGAGAGGUUUUGACUAGCACUAAAAAGCAAAAUUGUUGUUUCUAUUAACAUCACUGAAGAUAAAAAAAAAAUCAUAUCUGUAUUCCAACUAAACAUAAUGCUGAAAACGCAAGCAAUAAACAAAUAUAACUUCAAUAAAAAAACAUGUUUCAACAUCAUCAUGAAUUUGAAUUGUAACAGAAUAUGUGUCACCAAUUACCACAGAUAUGUAAUAACUUAAUCCAAUCCUCUUCCUUGAUUGUCACAUAGUCAACAAUAUUACCAAGAGGUAUAGGUAACACAUUCCUUGAUUGUCACAUAGUCAACAAUAUUACCAAGAGGUAUAGGUAACACAUUCCUUGAUUGUCACAUAGUCAACAAUAUUACCAAGAGGUAUAGGUUACACAUUCCUUGAUUGUCACAUAGUCAACAAUAUUACCAAGAGGUAUAGGUAACACAUUCCUUGAUUGUCACAUAGUCAACAAUAUUACCAAGAGGUAUAGAUUACACAUUCCUUGAUUGUCACAUAGUCAACAAUAUUACCAAGAGGUAUAGAUUACACAUUCCUUGAUUGUCACAUAGUCAACAAUAUUACCAAGAGGUAUAGGUUACACAUUCCUUGAUUGUCACAUAGUCAACAAUAUUACCAAGAGGUAUAGAUUACACAUUUGUUUUACAAAUAAUCUCAGAUAGGUAAACAAAAAAAUAAAGUUGUGAACACAAAAUGGUUGGUAUUUUAACAAAAAGCACCAGAACAUGUAAGUAAGGGAUCAAUUAAAGUACUUCCAUACAAAUUAAAGUCAAAAUAUACUUUUCGCUGGUGGCAGUGAUAAAUAAUAGUUAAAAAUCAGACAGGACAUUUUGUAACUAUUCAUUUUCCUCUUUUCCCAAAAAAUUCCUCAUUAUUUAAAAAGGUAAAAACAUAUUAUUUGGUUGUUUUUUUUUUUCAGCAAAUGAAUGUUUUUCUCCAAGUUGUUGAACAACUGUUAUGAUGAUCCCUUGAAUGAACAUGUUUUCAGUAAAUCUCAUAAUUGUAUACAAAAAAAAAUACAAAUAUCGUUUGGAAAAAUAAUCUCACUUUGGUGCUUGUAAAAAAUAAAAAAAAAUAAUAACUAAUCAAUUCAAUUUUACUUAUUACUGUUUUAAUGCUGUCAAUGUUCCCUUUUCUAGAGACAUUAAGAUGGUCCCUUUAAUGAACACAUUUUUUGGUAAGUCUUAUAAUUGUAUACCAAAAAAUUGCAAUUAUCAUUUAAAAAAAAAAUCUCACUAUGCUAGUUUGCUAGUUACAAAAAUAAAGAAAAAAUAUAAACUUGUGAACAAAAGUACAAUAGUGUCAAUUUUACUUAUUACCAAGUAUUGUUUUAAUGCUGUCAUUGUUCCUUUUCCCACAGACACAGCUGUACAGACAUCAAAUAAAAAUAUGAUCUGUUUUCACGAAUUAAUGCCAUUAUAGCAGAUGAGUAUCACAUGAUGAAUUUAUAUAAGAAAAAAAAUAUUGAAGAUAAAUUUCUUGUUUAAAUCAAAUACCUAUAAGAUGAUCCCUUGUACCAAAUCUAUAGAGGGGAAAUACUCUUUC